UACGUAGGUGGCAAGCGUUGUCCGGAUUUAUUGGGUUUAAAGGGUGCGUAGGCGGCCUGUUAAGUCAGUGGUGAAAUAUCUCAGCUUAACUGAGAAGGUGCCAAUGAUACUGAUGGGCUUGAGUACAGAUGAGGUAGGCGGAAUUGACGGUGUAGCGGUGAAAUGCUUAGAUAUCGUCAAGAACACCUAUAGCGAAGGCAGCUUACUAGGCUGUAACUGACGCUGAGGCACGAAAGUGUGGGGAUCAAACAGG
rnacentral:rRNA from 1 species